GACGAACGCUGGCGGCGUGCUUAACACAUGCAAGUCGAACGAAGUGGCGCACGGGUGAGUAACGCGUAAUCAACCUGCCCUUCAGGGGGGGUCAACAGUUGGAAACGACUGCUAAUCCCGCAUACUGAAGGAGUGGCUUGCGUCGGAUUAGCUAGUCGGCGGGGUAACGGCCCACCAAGGCGAUGAUCUGUAGCCGGUCUGAGAGGAUGAACGGCCACAUUGGGACUGAGACACGGCCCAGACUCCUACGGGAGGCAGCAGUGGGGAAUCUUCCGCAAUGGACGAAAGUCUGACGAAGCAACGCCGCGUGAGUGAUGACGGCCUUCGGGUUGUAAAGCUCUGUUAAUCGGGACGCGGUACCGGAAUAGAAAGCCACGGCUAACUACGUGCCAGCAGCCGCGGUAAUAC
rnacentral:rRNA from 1 species